rnacentral:tRNA from 1 species
AGCGGAGUGGGGGAGUUUGGAGUUCCCGUCGGGCUCAUAACCCGAAGGUCAGUGGUUCAAAUCCACUCUCCGCUA